UGAGAAGCAAGAUCUUCCAAGCAGAAAUCAAAAUUUAUCAUGGCAAGAGAUGGAUCAUUAGACCUCUAGGCCAAGGCCAGUAAUUUAAAUCAAGAAAGAACAACGUGCAAACAAGAGUUGGUAACAAUCAAUAUGCUUUGGGGAUCAUGUGAAACACAAAGAAAAUGUCAGUUCAUGAGCAAUACAACAGAUGGAGGAUAUUGAUCCUGAAUGGAGAAAAGGUAUUUUUUGUGAUAAGGGCAACAAAGAAAGUGGUUAGUCAAUAAACAAGCAAGGUCUUUGAGUGGAAAUCGGUUAUCAUGGGAAGUGAAAGGGCAAUCGCUCUAAAAGUCAAAGCCACAAACCAAACACCAUAUUUAUAAACUCACAAGUUCUGUUUGUUUGAAAC
rnacentral:lncRNA from 1 species